AAAUUUAGGAUACUUAAACCAAGAGCCUUCAAAGCCCUAAAAAAGAGCCCACCCUCUUAAUUUCU
rnacentral:tRNA from 1 species